GCACCCGUAGUUCAACGGCUUAGAAUAACUGACUUGUAAUCAGUGGAUCAAGGUUCGAUUCCUUGUGGGUGCUCUA
rnacentral:tRNA from 1 species